UACGUAGGAUGCGAGCGUUGUCCGGAAUUACUGGGCGUAAAGCGCGCGCAGGCGGGCGCAUGCGUCGACGGUGAAAGCUCCCGGCUUAACCGGGAGAGGACCGCCGAAACGGUGCGUCUAGAGGACAGGAGAGGCAGGCGGAAUGCCCGAAGUAGCGGUGACAUGCGUUGAGAUCGGGCGGAACUCCGGUGGCGAAGGCGGCCUGCUGGACUGCUCCUGACGCUGAGGCGCGAAAGCCAGGGGAG
rnacentral:rRNA from 1 species